GUACUCGCUUCGGCGGUGCAUUUACUAAAAUUAGAACGAUACGGAGAAGAUUAGCAUGGCCCCUGGGAAGGAUGGCACGCAAAAUCGUGAAACGUUCCACAUUUUU